ensembl:lncRNA
GUUCGGUUAAAUACAGGCGAAUUCCCUUUCAAGGCAACCUUCAAGGCAAGAGGAAAGCCUCUUUUAACAGAACCCCUGUGGACCAGGUGGAUGGAUUGGGGACCAGGUGGAUGGACUUGGACCAGGUGGAUGGACAGGGGACCAGGUGGACCAGGUGGAUGGACUGGGGACCAGGUGGAUGGACUGGGGACCAGGUGGAUGGACUGGGGACCAGGUGGAUGGACUGGGACCAGGUGGAUGGACUGGGGACCAGGUGGAUGGACUGUGGACCAGGUGGACCAGGUGGAUGGACUGGGGACUAGGUGGACCAGGUGGAUGGACUGGGGACCAGGUGGACCAGGUGGAUGGACUGGGGACUAGGUGGACCAGGUGGAUGGACUGGGGACUAGGUGGACCAGGUGGAUGGACUGUGGACCAGGUGGACCAGGUGGAUGGACUGUGGACCAGGUGGACCAGGUGGAUGGACUGGGGACUAGGUGGACCAGGUGGAUGGACUGGGGACCAGGUGGAUGGACUGGGGACCAGGUGGAUGGACUGUGGAC